GCGGAGGAAAAGAAACCAACAGGGAUUGCCUUAGUAACGGCGAGUGAAGCGGCAAGAGCUCAAAUUUGAAAUCUGUGGCCUUUGGUCUCCGAGUUGUAAUUUGAAGGUUGUAUCUUUGGAUUUGGUCCUUGUCUAUGUUCCUUGGAACAGGACGUCAUAGAGGGUGAGAAUCCCGUUUGGCGAGGUGUCCAUUUCUAUGUAAAGUGCUUCCGAAGAGUCGAGUUGUUUGGGAAUGCAGCUCUAAGUGGGUGGUAAAUUCCAUCUAAAGCUAAAUAUUGGCGAGAGACCGAUAGCGAACAAGUACAGUGAUGGAAAGAUGAAAAGAACUUUGAAAAGAGAGUGAAAAAGUACGUGAAAUUGUUGAAAGGGAAGGGCUUGAGAUCAGACUUGAUGUUCAGUGAUCAAUUUUCCUUUUUGGUUAAUGCACUUGCUGUUCAUUGGGCCAACAUCGAUUUGGAUGGUAGGAUAAUGGCGUUGGAAUGUGGCUUUACUUUUGUAGAGUGUUAUAGCCUUCGUUGAUACUGCCCGUCUGGAUCGAGGACUGCGUCUUUUUGACUAGGAUGUUGGCGUAAUGAUCUUAAGCCG
rnacentral:rRNA from 1 species